AGAGUUUGAACCUGGCUCAGAUUGAACGCUGGCGGCAUGCUUUACACAUGCAAGUCGAACGGCAGCACGGGUGCUUGCACCUGGUGGCGAGUGGCGAACGGGUGAGUAAUGCACCGGAACGUACCCAGUAAUGGGGGAUAACACAUCGAAAGAUGUGCUAAUACCGCAUACGCCCUGAGGGGGAAAGCGGGGGAUCGUAAGACCUCGCGUUAUUGGAGCGGCCGAUGCCGGAUUAGCUAGUUGGUGAGGUAAGAGCUCACCAAGGCGACGAUCCGUAGCUGGUCUGAGAGGACGACCAGCCACACUGGGACUGAGACACGGCCCAGACUCCUACGGGAGGCAGCAGUGGGGAAUUUUGGACAAUGGGCGCAAGCCUGAUCCAGCCAUGCCGCGUGAGUGAAGAAGGCCUUCGGGUUGUAAAGCUCUUUCGCAAGGAAAGAAAACUUAUCUACUAA
rnacentral:rRNA from 1 species